UGGGGAAUAUCGCACAAUGGGCGAAAGCCUGAUGCAGCAACGCCGCGUGAGUGAUGAAGGCCUUCGGGUUGUAAAGCUCUGUCUUUUGGGACGAUAAUGACGGUACCAAAGGAGGAAGCCACGGCUAACUACGUGCCAGCAGCCGCGGUAAUACGUAGGUGGCAAGCGUUGUCCGGAUUUACUGGGCGUAAAGGAUGCGUAGGCGGAUUUUUAAGUGAGAUGUGAAAACCCUAAGCUUAACUUGGGGACUGCAUUUCAUACUGGAAAUCUAGAGUGCGGGAGAGGAGAAUGGAAAUUCCUAGUGUAGCGGUGAAAAUGCGUAGAGAUUAGGAAGGACACCAGUGGCGAAGGCGAUUCUCUGGACCGUAACUGACGCUGAGGCAUGAAAAGCGUGGGUAGCAAAACAGGAUUAGAUACCCUGGUAGUCCACGCCGUAAAACGAUGAGUACUAGGUGUAGGAGGUAUCGACCCCUUCUGUGCCGCAGUUAACACAAUAAGUACUCCGCCUGGGAAGUACGAUCGCAAGAUUAAAAACUCAAAAUGAAUUGAC
rnacentral:rRNA from 1 species